GACGAACGCUGACGGCGUGCUUAACACAUGCAAGUCGAAGGGAGUGGCGAACGGGUGAGUAACACGUGAGUAACCUGCCCUUUUCUUUGGCAUAAGCCUGGGAAACUGGGUCUAAUACUGGAUGGAUUGGGAUGGGCUCGCGGCUUGUCAGCUUGUUGGGGGGGUGAUGGCUUACCGAGGCUUUGACGGGUAGCCGGCAUGAGAGGGUGGUCGGUCACUGAGGGACUGAUCAACGGCCCACAGUACGACGGGGUGCAGCAGUGGGGGAUAUUGCACAAUGGACGAAAGACUGAUGCAGCGACGUCGAGUAGGGGCUGAGGGUCGUCGAGUUGUUAACGCCUGGCGGACGCGGAAUGGUAGUGGGUAAAGAAGCGCCGGCUAACUACGUGCCAGCAGCCGCGGUAAUAC
rnacentral:rRNA from 1 species